CUUGGUCAUUUAGAGGAAGUAAAAAGUCGUAACAAGGUUUCCGUAGGUGAACCUGCGGAAGGAUCAUUAUCGAAAUUAUUGGUGAGGGUUGUAGCUGGCCUUUCGAGGCAUGUGCACGCUCGAGCCCUUAAUCCACUUUACACCUGUGCACUUAAUGUAGGUCGCCCUUAAAAAAGGUGACCUAUGUCUUAUCAUCAACCCAUCGUAUGUCUCAUAGAAUGUAAUCGAUAUCCUCGCCCUAAAAAAGCGCUGAUAAACUUAUACAACUUUCAACAACGGAUCUCUUGGCUCUCGCAUCGAUGAAGAACGCAGCGAAAUGCGACAAGUAAUGUGAAUUGCAGAUUUUCAGUGAAUCAUCGAAUCUUUGAACGCACCUUGCGCUCCUUGGUAUUCCGAGGAGCAUGCCUGUUUGAGUGUCAUUAAAUUCUCAACUCCAAGGGUUUCACGACCUUUCGGAGAUUGGACUUGGAGGUGCUGGCCGCAUAUUGGUCGGCUCCUCUCAAAUGCAUCAGCGGAAUUCAACCUUUGGCUUCCGGAUGUCAGUGUGAUAAUCAUGUUGCGCUGUCGUUUGAUCCCUCAGAGUCCGCUUAUAAUGGUCUUCGGACAAAAUCAUCAUCAAAUUUGACCUCAAAUCAGGUAGGACUACCCGCUGAACUUAAGCAUAUCAAUAAGCGGAGGA
rnacentral:rRNA from 1 species